AUUGAACGCUGGCGGCAGGCCUAACACAUGCAAGUCGAACGAGCGGCGGACGGGUGAGUAAUGUCUGAGCAACUGCCUGAUGGAGGGGGAUAACUACUGGAAACGGUAGCUAAUACCGCAUACCAUCAGAUGUGCCCAGAUGGGAUUAGCUAGUAGGUGGGGUAAAGGGUCACCUAGGCGACGAUCCCUAGCUGGUCUGAGAGGAUGACCAUACACACUGGAAAUGAGACACGGUCCAGACUCCUACGGGAGGCAGCAGUGGGGAAUAUUGCACAAUGGGCGCAAGCCUGAUGCAGCCAUGCCGCGUGUGUGAAGAAGGCCUUAGGGUUGUAAAGCACUUUCAGCGGGGAGGCGUUACUCGCAGAAGAAGCACCGGCUAACUCCGUGCCAGCCGCCGCGGUAAUAC
rnacentral:rRNA from 1 species